rnacentral:rRNA from 1 species
ACGGCUUCAGUAACGCGUAGUCAACCUACCCUAUGGACGGGAAUAAUCUCGGGAAACUGAGCAUAAUACCCGGCGUACCAUCAUUCCUGGAAUGGUUGGUGGUUAAAAUGAUUCGUCGCCGUAGGAUGGGACUGCGACUUAUCAGCUUGUUGGUGAGGUAAAGGCCCACCAAGGCGAUUACAGGUACGGGCUCUGAGAGGAGAAGCCCGGAGAUGGGUACUGAGACACGGACCCAGGCCCUAUGGGGCGCAGCAGGCGAGAAAACUUUGCAAUGUGCGAAAGCACGACAAGGUUAAUCCGAGUGAUUUCUGCUAAAGGAAUCUUUUGCCAGUUCCAAAAAUACUAGUGAAUAAGGGGUGGGCAAGUUCUGGUGUCAGCCGCCGCGGUAAAACCAGCACCUCAAGUGGUCA